GACGAACGCUGGCGGCGUGCCUAAUACAUGCAAGUUGAGCGCUGAAGGUUGGUACUUGUACCGACUGGAUGAGCAGCGAACGGGUGAGUAACGCGUGGGGAAUCUGCCUUUGAGCGGGGGACAACAUUUGGAAACGAAUGCUAAUACCGCAUAAAAACUUUAAACACAAGUUUUAAGUUUGAAAGAUGCAAUUGCAUCACUCAAAGAUGAUCCCGCGUUGUAUUAGCUAGUUGGUGAGGUAAAGGCUCACCAAGGCGAUGAUACAUAGCCGACCUGAGAGGGUGAUCGGCCACAUUGGGACUGAGACACGGCCCAAACUCCUACGGGAGGCAGCAGUAGGGAAUCUUCGGCAAUGGACGAAAGUCUGACCGAGCAACGCCGCGAGAGUGAAGAAGGUUUUCGGAUCGUAAAACUCUGUUGGUAGAGAAGAACGUUGGUGAGAGUGGAAAGCCCAUCAAGUGACGGUAACUACCCAGAAAGGGACGGCUAACUACGUG
rnacentral:rRNA from 1 species